AAAGAUAGCCUUAUGAAAAAGUUUUUCUGUGAGGCGGAAGUAUAUUUUUGGCCUGAGAGAAAAGUUCCAAGUAAUAAAUCUUCAACACAAAGAGAACUGAAUAUUCAUUCUAGGGCUAAGAUACGAACUUCACAUUUAAUUUGGGUACCUAUUUUCAUUGAUUUUCCUUGAAAACAAUCUGUUCCUGGUGCCCAGUGAUAAUUCAGCUGGGACUAAAAGGAAGGGGAGAGCACAGCGAAAUACUAAAGUUCAGAAAAGUGACCCUAAAGGACAGUUUGGUCCCAGGAUGGAAAAAAAGAAGACUUGGUUUGAUCACGUUACAUGGAGCAGUCUACCUGUUCUUUGAUUUGGGGAGAGGAGUGGGGCAGCCUGAGAAGAGCAUGUCUGGAUUGGGAAGAACCGUCUGUCCAGAUUAGGGGCGGGGAACAGAAAGAAGGGAGCAUGGACACGAGAACCAGAUGAAAUUUGACUGAAGCAAAGAAAAACUCCCGAAUGUGCUAAGCCUUGAUAGUGACAGUCUUCCCCAAGCUACUGCUGCUACCAGCAAGUGAUCAGGAGGACUAGGAGCUAUUUCUGACUGUAAAUGAAUUGUAUAAUGGCUCUGCUGCAGUUCUGUGACUUCCAAGCCAGGAAUUAAACACUUAUUAAGGGAAAAACAAACAAACAUUUCCUAUGCUCGUCUCCCAGCAAAAUGUACAUGUUUUGGAGACUUCAAAGGUAUUAUCUGAGUUCACAUUUAGCCACAGCUUAUUAAUAACCCUCAAGCUGUCAGAAUCUCUAUAGUAACCAUUUACAAUUUUAUACUGUGAAAAAAAUACAGAUCAGUGAAAACCAUAACGAUAAAUUAGAAUUCACUUUAAAGAGGGUCUGAGGCCUGGGAGAUUCUCUACUAUCUGUUGAAGAAAGUGGCAUGUAUAAAAUAGUUGGCUGAAUUUCACUGAUCUUCCCAAUGUGAACAAAUAUACUAUGUAUAUUGUGUGUAUUUCUAGAUUUCAAUGGCAGCUGCUGGUGGUGUUGUAAUUAGAAAUCUAUAUAGAAUAUAGAUGUUUUAGGGAGAUGGUGCCAAUCCUAAAAGAUUUGUGUGGACUACAAGUGCUUGUACUUACUUUUUUCUGCACUUAUAACUGAUUUGGUUUUAAAAUUGUGUGCGUGUAUCUGUUCUUUUUCUGUUGUUGCAGCUUGUACUAUUAAAACAAUAGAGAAUGUUAAAUUA